rnacentral:rRNA from 1 species
CCUACGAGGGGCUGCAGUGGGGAAUAUUGGACAAUGGGCGAAAGCCUGAUCCAGCCAUGCCGCGUGUGUGAAGAAGGCCUUCGGGUUGUAAAGCACUUUCAGUGGGGAAGAAAGCCUUGGGGCUAAUACCCUCGAGGAAGGACAUCACCCACAGAAGAAGCACCGGCUAACUCCGUGCCAGCAGCCGCGGUAAUACGGAGGGUGCGAGCGUUAAUCGGAAUUACUGGGCGUAAAGCGCGCGUAGGCGGUCUGAUAAGCCGGUUGUGAAAGCCCCGGGCUCAACCUGGGAACGGCAUCCGGGACUGUCAGGCUAGAGUGCAGGAGAGGAAGGUAGAAUUCCCGGUGUAGCGGUGAAAUGCGUAGAGAUCGGGAGGAAUACCAGUGGCGAAGGCGGCCUUCUGGACUGACACUGACGCUGAGGUGCGAAAGCGUGGGUAGCAAACAGGAUUAGAUACCCCAGUAGUC